CUGCGUCCAACAAAUUCUAUUCAUUAACGAACGUACAGUAUUUAAUUAUUCAAGCGUAUUGAUGGCUUAUGUACUGUCCUCACUGAGGACAGUACAUAAGAAAUCAAUACGCUUGAGACUCCUCACUAUGACGCAAACAUGAAACAUUCGCAAACAAAAAAAUUCAAAGCGUUUCUUAGCUUUGCUGUUCAUUUCCUUAUAUGCUUAUGCUUAUCCUGUUGCUUAUGCUUAUCUUGCGUUGUAGUGAGGACACAGCUAUAGCAUAAGACAUUAAAGCGUUCUGCCUUUGAACUUAUGUAAUAAAGACCAGCCUAAUUAUAUAAUUUAGUUCAUCAAAAAAAUAAGCCUCAAUGAUAGAAUAGUAAAGACGACACACAGUCCCUCAAAAAUUUGCGCAAUGAUCCACAGGAAUGCUCUAAUAUAACAAAAGG